AUGUUAACGUGUGAUAUGUUAACAUCGGUUUUCCAAAAAAUUCGAUGUUAAUGCAUACACGUUAACAU
rnacentral:pre_miRNA from 1 species